UGGGGAAUAUUGAGCAAUGGGGGAAACCCUGACGCAGCGACGCCGCGUGCGGGCUGAAGGCCUUCGGGUUGUAAACCGCUUUUGAUUGGGAGCAAGCUUUCGGGUGAGUGUACCUUUCGAAUAAGCGCCGGCUAACUACGUGCCAGCAGCCGCGGUAAUACGUAGGGCGCAAGCGUUAUCCGGAAUUAUUGGGCGUAAAGAGCUUGUAGGCGGUUCGUCGCGUCUGGUGUGAAAGCCCAUCGCUUAACGGUGGGUUUGCGCCGGGUACGGGCGGGCUAGAGGGCAGUAGGGGGGACUGGAAUUCCCGGUGUAACGGGGGAAUGGGUAGAUAUCGGGAAGAAAACCAAUGGCCAAGGCAGGUCUCUGGUCUGUAACUGACGCUGAGGCUCGAAAGCGUGGGUAGCAAACAGG
rnacentral:rRNA from 1 species